AUUGAACCAAAAAGAUUUUUUUUAUUAUAAAAUACUUUCAGAUAUUAACUCAUUAUCAAUACACUACAUUUUGAAAAAGCUACAAUUGGAAAACAUUUCCAAAUACAUGACUAUUCAUAAAUCUCAUCCACAUCAUACUAAAUAACACUACCUUUUCCCUCUUACUACAAGAAAAAUAACUUGUACAUGCACACCAACCCACAAAAGGAAACUUAUUAAAAUGAACAUUACACAAGCAAGACAAGAAUUAAAUAUUAACAAAAAUACAAAAAUUAUAUCAAAAAGUAAGAUAAGACAUAAACAUAAUACCAAUAUAAAUAAAACAUAAUGAAUCAUGGUGGCAUAUCUAUACAAUGCCUAUAAUCCAUGCAUCUUAAAGGCAUUGAAGGCCAAGAAGGCAUGAAUAUCAGAAACAAUUUCUUUUGUAUGGACAUUAUACAGCAGAUGGAAUUCCACUUUAUAAAAUCUGGUAGAAGUCAAAAUUUAAAGAACUUAUGUUUGUUGGUACUGAUUAAUUUUUUCAGACACUUAGUCCUAAUAGAUUUCAUUAAGGAAGAGCAAUUAUCAGAAAAUUUAAUGCUUAGAAUACAGUUCAGAUAAACUCUAUAGUACAUUGAUCCAUAAAGUUUAAAAAUUUUAAUGAUACAAAUUUGUACUUCAGUGUUAGCUUAGCCAUAGGAUCCAUAAUAAACAAAAUUUGUUGUUCUGUGUU
rnacentral:lncRNA from 1 species